ACUCCUACGGGAGGCAGCAGUGGGGAAUAUUGCACAAUGGGGCACCAGCAUGCAGCCAUGCCGCGUGUAUGAAGAAGGCCUUCGGGUUGUAAAGUACUUUCAGCAGUGAGGAAGGUGGGUAUGUUAAUAGCAUACACAUUUGACGUUAGCUGCAGAAGAAGCACCGGCUAACUCCGUGCCAGCAGCCGCGGUAAUACGGAGGGUGCGAGCGUUAAUCGGAAUUACUGGGCGUAAAGCGCAUGCAGGUGGUUUGUUAAGUCAGAUGUGAAAGCCCGGGGCUCAACCUCGGAAUUGCAUUUGAAACUGGCAAACUAGAGUACUGUAGAGGGGGGUAGAAUUUCAGGUGUAGCGGUGAAAUGCGUAGAGAUCUGAAGGAAUACCGGUGGCGAAGGCGGCCCCCUGGACAGAUACUGACACUCAGAUGCGAAAGCGUGGGAGCAAACAGGAUUAGAUACCCUGGUAGUGUACUGU
rnacentral:rRNA from 1 species